AGUGAACGCUGGCGGUAGGCCUAACACAUGCAAGUCGAACGGCAGCACAGUAAGAGCUUGCUCUUACGGGUGGCGAGUGGCGGACGGGUGAGGAAUACAUCGGAAUCUACUUUUUCGUGGGGGAUAACGUAGGGAAACUUACGCUAAUACCGCAUACGACCUACGGGUGAAAGCAGGGGAUCUUCGGACCUUGCGCGAUUGAAUGAGCCGAUGUCGGAUUAGCUAGUUGGCGGGGUAAAGGCCCACCAAGGCGACGAUCCGUAGCUGGUCUGAGAGGAUGAUCAGCCACACUGGAACUGAGACACGGUACAGACUCCUACGGGAGGCAGCAGUGGGGAAUCUUGGACAAUGGGCGCAAGCCUGAUCCAGCCAUACCGCGUGGGUGAAGAAGGCGUUCGGGUUGUAAAGCCCUUUUGUUGGGAAAGAAAAGCAGCAGGUUAAUACCCCGCUGUUCUGACGGUACCCAAAGAAUAAGCACCGGCUAACUUCGUG
rnacentral:rRNA from 1 species